rnacentral:rRNA from 1 species
AGUGAACGCUGGCGGCGUGCCUAACACAUGCAAGUCGAACGAUGAUUGAGAGCUUGCUCUCAUGAUUAGUGGCGCACGGGUGAGUAUACCAUAGAUAAUGUACCUCUUAGUUCGGGAUAGCCACUGGAAACGGUGAUUAAUACCGGAUACUCCUUCUUGUCUCAAGGCAAGUCGGGAAAGUUUUUUCGCUAAGAGAUCAGUCUAUGUCCUAUCAGCUAGUUGGUGAGGUAAUGGCUCACCAAGGCAAUGACGGGUAUCUGGUUUGAGAGGAUGAUCAGACACACUGGAACUGAGACACGGUCCAGACUCCUACGGGAGGCAGCAGUGAGGAAUAUUGCACAAUGGAGGAAACUCUGAUGCAGCAACGCCGCGUGGAGGAUGACGCAUUUCGGUGUGUAAACUCCUUUUAAGAGGGAAGAUAAUGACGGUACCUCUUGAAUAAGCACCGGCUAACUCCGUGCCAGCAGCCGCGGUAA